GCAUCGGUGGUUCAGUGGUAGAAUGCUCGCCUGCUACGCGGGCGGCCCGGGUUCGAUUCCCAGCCGAUGCA
rnacentral:tRNA from 1 species